rnacentral:rRNA from 1 species
GGGCCCGCACAAGCGGUGGAGCAUGUGGUUUAAUUCGAUGAUACGCGAGGAACCUUACCAGGGCUUAAAUGUAGUCUGACAGGGGUGGAAACACCCCCUCCUUCGGGCAGAUUACAAGGUGCUGCAUGGUUGUCGUCAGCUCGUGCCGUGAGGUGUCAGGUUAAGUCCUAUAACGAGCGCAACCCCUGCCGUUAGUUGCCAGCAUGUAAUGAUGGGAACUCUAACGGGACUGCCGGUGCAAACCGCGAGGAAGGUGGGGAUGACGUCAAAUCAUCACGGCCCUUACGUCCUGGCUACACACGUGCUACAAUGGCCGGUACAGAGGGCAGCCACACCGCAAGGUGGAG